rnacentral:rRNA from 1 species
UACGUAGGGGGCGAGCGUUGUCCGGAUUUACUGGGCGUAAAGGGCGCGUAGGCGGCCACCGCAAGUCAGUUGUGAAAUCUCUGGGCUUAACCCAGAACGGUCAGCUGAUACUGCGGGGCUAGAGUGCAGAAGGGGCAACUGGAAUUCUCGGUGUAGCGGUGAAAUGCGUAGAUAUCGAGAGGAACACCUGCGGCGAAGGCGGGUUGCUGGGCUGACACUGACGCUGACAGCGCGAAAGCUAGGGGAGCGAACGGG